UAUGUGAGACGGAGAAAAUUAAAAAGUCGAACCCGGAGUGGCUAACAACUUGUUCUUUGUCCGUGAGGUUCAAGGGUUUGCUGAAAUUUUUCAUUUUUCUCGGGAAAAUUUGGUGGGAAUGGAUGGGUUGUUUGUCCUGUUUCGAAUCGAGGGAAGAAGAGAAGCUGGAUCCGCAGAAGGUAUCUGAGGAUCAGAAGCAAUCCCACCCGACAAUUUCCAUUUUAUCUUCUGGUAGGGGAAAAGCUCAGAUCAAUGAGGUAAUGGAGCAUCAAAAAGGGAUGAAACUACUUCGACUAGCAAUUUUCAUCCCGACUCUCUAGAUUUGUGCGAAUGGUUCAAGGAAAGGCUCAAGAGCACUGGUUGUUUCUGUUAAGAAAUUGGAUAGGAAUGGACUGCAACGUAACAGAGAAUUUCUGAUGGAUUAUGCUUAUUCUUCUUUGAUUGGUUAUUGUGCUGAUGGAGAUUCGCGGCUCCUCGUCUUUGAAUUUAUGCCCUUCGGAUCAUUGGAAGAUCGUCUUCAUGAUCUUCCGCCCGAUAAGAAACCACUAGAAUGGAACACAAGAAUGAAGAUAUAGCUGCAGGAGCAGCGAAAAAGGGUUGGAAUUCCUACACGAUAAGGCCAAACCUCCUGUUAUUUACAAAGAUUUCAAGUCCUCCAACAUAUUAUUGGAUGAGGAUUUCCCCCCAAAGCUCUCUGAUUUCGGGUUUAGAGCUUUGGUUAAGUUUUUCCGGAGCUGAUUACUGGAUGUAAAGCUAUCGACACGACAGCACGCUGGCACGUGGUGAACAAAACCUCGUUGCUUGGGCGAGACCACUGUUCAACGACAGGAGAAAGUCCAUAAGGCGGAUCGAGGUUGCAGCUAUGAACGAGGGAGCAGUCCGUUCCUCGUGGGAGGGAUGUGAUCGCUGCCCUCACGUAUAUACCAAACCAAGCUUAUGAUCCCGACAAAAAUGACAGGAGAAGCCAGGAUAAACGAGGCGGCAAGUUACUAUAAAGGAGCGGCGAAGGAGGAGGAGGAGGAGGGUUUGGAAGAAGAUCCGAUCUUGAUGGCUCCGAGAAGGACGAGUCUCGGGAGAGACGGAUAGGGUUUUGAACAGAGACAUCGACCGAUAACGGGCCAUGGCUGAGGCCAAGAUGUGGGGAGAGAAUUUGAGGAAGAAAUGACAGUAGCAACGGCUAGUUUAAUAACCCUUUUUCCCUUCUUCCAUGUUCAAACAUGGAUGAAUAUAUAGAGUAAGAAAACUGAACCAAGAAGAGUGUACGUUAUAUGAUGAUGCUAUAUGGGCAUUAUGACACAAUAACCUAAUCACUAACUCAAUAAAUUUUGAGGAGCUAUGUUCAGAAUUCAA